GACAUCUAUCUCGAAUGUACUUAACUUGAUUUUAAGUCAUGAUAAUCACAAGCAGAAUAGUCCAUUCCUCCACUUAGAGUCAAUCCAGUGAAGAAAUUCACUAAAGUACACAUGGAUAAGGAGAAUAACAAAGUGGUAUUCACUGGGUUCUUUAAAUCAGCAAGUAGAUUUUAGAAAGACUUUAUUUGAAUUCCUUGAUCUCUGCCAGUCCAUCUGUUUACACCAAUUGUUGGGAAAACACUCAAUAGAACAUUUCCAAACAGCAAACAGCAGGUUUAGAACACGUGACUUCCUCACUAAUCACAUUUAAAUAGCACAGAGUUAGAAGUCAGAUUCCCCACAGGACACUGGAGAAAGCUUGAACUCUUAAUCUUCAAAGAAAAAACUCAAAAGGAAAAUGAUGUUCAAGCUAUCACUCAUCAGCCUGUUCCUCCUGUUUGUUGAUAACCCUUCGGGGACAACUCUAACACCAAUGGCCUCAAGUUCUGUGACAGUCUUGAGUCCCAAUGUGA